GGAGGGCUCGCAUAGCGGCCGAGUGCGACGGUCUUGAAAACCGUUGUUGGGUGAUCCCCAACCGUGGGUUCAAAUCCCACGCCCUCCG
rnacentral:tRNA from 1 species